rnacentral:rRNA from 1 species
ACUCCUACGGGAGGCAGCAGUGGGGAAUCUUGGACAAUGGGCGCAAGCCUGAUCCAGCCAUGCCGCGUGAGUGAAGAAGGUCUUCGGAUUGUAAAGCUCUUUUGCCAGGGACGAUAAUGACGGUACCUGGAGAAUAAGCCCCGGCAAACUUCGUGCCAGCAGCCGCGGUAAUAC